UGCCCGGCCAUAAAUUUUUUUAAUUAGCCAGGCAUGGUGGUGCACACCUAUAUUCCUAGCUAUGUGGGAGGCUAAGGUGGGAGGAUUGUUUGAGCCCAGGAGGUUGAGGCUGCAGUGAGCUUUGAUUGUGCCACAGCACUCCAGUCUGGGUGACAGAGCAAGACCCUAUCUCUUAAAUACACACACCCCCCCCCAAAAAUCCUCUGGUCUCUGAGGUCCCAGGCUCCCUGAGGCCUCUUGAGUUCCCCAGUGGCUGACCCCUUCCUGCCUUCCUUUCCAUAGUUAGACGUUGUCCUGGAGACGAACCUGGCCACAAUCCGCGUGUUGGAAAGCGUGCAGAAGAAGCUGUCUCGGAUGGCGCCGGAAGACCAGGAGAAGUUCCGGCUGGACGACUCCCUGGGAGGCACGUCGGAGGUGAUCCAACGCCGUGCCAUUUAUCGCAUCUAUGGCGACAAGGCCCCGGAGAUCAUUGAGAGCCUCAAGAAGAACCCUGUCACCGCUGUCCCCGUUGUCCUGAAAAGACUGAAGGCGAAGGAAGAGGAGUGGCGGGAGGCCCAGCAGGGCUUCAACAAGAUCUGGCGGGAGCAGUAUGAGAAGGCGUACCUCAAGUCCCUUGACCACCAGGCUGUGAACUUCAAGCAGAACGACACCAAGGCCCUGCGCUCCAAGAGCUUGCUCAACGAGAUCGAGAGCGUCUACGACGAGCACCAGGAGCAGCACUCGGAGGGCCGCAGUGCCCCCUCUAGCGAGCCGCACCUCAUCUUCGUGUACGAGGACCGGCAGAUCCUGGAGGACGCAGCAGCGCUCAUCAGCUACUACGUGAAGCGGCAGCCGGCCAUCCAGAAGGAGGACCAGGGCACCAUCCACCA
rnacentral:sRNA from 1 species